CCUGUCCAGUGCCCUUUUAAUUAGUAUACCACAUGUGCUGCACAUUACACUUCCACUUUAGACACAGAGAUACCUUUAUUCUCCAGUUUGACCAUCCCAUCGCUUCAGCCUCUCGUCUUCUUCUCAACUUUCUUCCGCUCUUCUUGCAGUACUUGUUUAGGGGCAGAGAAGAUGGACGGCGCUCAAGGCAUGGAAUCUGAGAAGAUCUGCAGCCCUUUGUUCAUUUCUUCUUAACCUGUUUCAUUUAUUUAUCUGUUGCUUCUUCAUUUAUUCACUGGUAAGCACUCCAAUUUUGUUGUUUUCCUAAUAUAUGUUUGUACUUUCUUCUUAUUUUUUUAUGAAAUUUUCUCCCUAUUUCUUGUCCAUCCUCGACAUGCAUGUUCUGUUUUGUUUGUUUUUUUCUUUCCUUUCCUUCUUAGGAAGUUGGAUCUGAAACAGCGAGGUGCUUCAUUUCUGCUCUUUCUUCGAAGUACUUUGGUGAUAUGACAUUAAGAUAAAUGAUCCUAACUACUAAGACGUUCUGCUCACUGAUUUGCCCAACUGUUUGAUGAUAUGCCUGAGACAACUGAAUAAUAGUUUAUUGUAUCUCUUUUUUCUUUUUUCACAGGUGUUCUUCAAGAUUCUUAUCUAUAAGGUACAUUAUUUACUUUUGGACUGUAUUUGUGAUCAAUACAUGUGUGCCAUUAUCAUUUUGAUUCCUCAAUGCUUUACUAUUAAAUAAAUCUUGAUUCCUAGAGCAUAAUAAGUGAAUGUAAAUCAAAUGGUGUGACACUUAUUCUUUGGAUGGUUUUGUGUAUUAAGAAUUGAACUGGAAGUCAAUAAAAGUGUACUAUCAUUCUAAGGUUCUUGAGAAUUACUUCAAUAGUUAAUGUAAAUUUGUUGAAAAUUUAAGUUGUUUGGGAUUUACUGGAAGUCCGUUGGUAUAUUUUGGGUAGCCUAUCGCUUCUCAUUGUUUGCCGUUGGAUUAAGUUAUAUUGAAAUAUUAAAUUGUUAAUAUUCUUAUUCUGGUGCAUAUCAAAGCUUAGUUCUUAUAAGGAUGCCAAGCAACAAAUAAAAGAACAAGUGAGGAGUGUAGGAGUUGAGCUUUUCUAGAUAGCAAGUUUUAUCAAUAUUCCAUUCACGAUAGAAUAAUACAGGACUUUUUGAGUAAAGACUUCCUUUCACAAAAAUCUUGAGUGAUAUGUAGAAACUUAGAGAAAUUUAAAUAUUGAAUGACAAGUUAACAUCAUUUACUUCUAAUUUUGGGAUUUGAUAGAACCUUAGUUGUGAUAUUCAAAUGGUUUAUAUGAAAUUCAAGACCUUGAUGGCGUUGCACUUCUCCUCCGAUGGGUAAUAGGUAAAAUUCAAUACUCCAUAAUUUUAACAUCUCGCUGAAACUACGGGGGCUUGUUUUGUAGAUUAAAUGUUGGCCGUUUUUAUAGAUAGCCUGUGUUGUUUGUGUGCAUGUACUUUUAGGCUUCAAAGAGUCGAACAUUACUUAUUCUCACUGGUGAAUUAUUAAUUGUCAGUUGGAUAAAUUACACAUUAUUUUGGAAUUGUGCCAGUAUUUGCUGCUUGGUUGUAUUUAAGAGUACAAGAAAAGAAUCAUCAUACUGGAAAGAAAGUAAGCCUCUUCAGCUAUUGACAAUAAUAGUAGUACUUUUCAUUUUUUAGUCUUACAAUAUAAUAGCACUUCAUUAAUAUCUUUUCUAAAGAGUAUAUGCUACUAUUUUGGGAUACAAUUCGCUUCUUUAGUUUCGGAAAUGCUACAAUCGCGAAAUUAAGUACCAUCGGAAAUAUAUGCAUUUUAAUUUGUCUAUAAUUUCUUCUCUUAUGCUCUAAUAAUUAGUGAGAGUGGAGGUCGCAGGAACUUAAUGAAGGUUAACAUCCGAUCUUAUGGUUGGUCUAUAGAACACUAUUAUUUUGGAGGUUCUCUUGAAGACUGAGUUCCUUUAAACUUAUACAGAAAAGAGAAAAAAGAUUAUUUUUCUUAUGUUGUUUCACGUACCUGAUUCAAGGUAACAGUUUAAUACACUUUUGAGUGUAUUAAAUAAAAACCUAUUUUGGUCCUUUCUUUUCUUUAGUUGUAGUACUGGUUAUUAUUUGAGACUCAUUUUCUCAGUCAUCUUUUGAACCUACUUUUGAGGCUACUUGAUUUAUUUUCAUCGCCUUUUAUGGUACAAAUUCGUUAAAAAGUAGAGGUUCUAAUAGAUGCGCACUUGGACUGUGAAAAUUUAUUUUCCUUUCUCAUCUCAUUUAUGUUGAUUAAUUGUUUUGCACUAACCAUACUCCAAAACAAGCAAUAGGUUGUAAGAGUUUUAAAAACGGCACUACCUAAAGUCCCGUAUAUUAGGCAGCUAUCUACUCUCCUCUGCUGUUGACUUUCGUUUAUCGAGUAUUUCUGAACUACAAAUUCAUUUUUCCUUGUGAGAAGUUUAAGUUUAAACUUAGGUUAUUUCAAAUUUCUAUAGGACCGGACUGUUCUGACGUGGUUUAACUCUUGCUUGGAACAAGACAUCAACUAGAUGCAAGAGAAGUGGUGACAAAGCGUUCUCAGGUAGAUAUGAAAAUCAGCUAGGAAGAAAAGACGGGUACUCUAACAGAGGAUAUGGCUAAAAGAAUAGGUUCAGAGCAGUGCAAUGUUGUUGCUUCUCUUGCUAUGUUGUAUUUCUAUGUUGUUGCUCAUUAGAUUCUUAGAAUAUUGUUGUGUGUAAUUGUGUUCAUCCUUAUUGAUUAAACUCAGAAUUAUGAUCCGGGUCAUGUACCAGAUUCUUUCAACAUUGAUAAAUAGCUAUUAUUCUGAAAUGAAAACAUGAGCAAGUAUUAUUAAUUUGAAA